rnacentral:rRNA from 1 species
AACGAACGCUGGCGGCGCGCUUAACACAUGCAAGUCGAACGAGAAGGCGUAGCAAUACGCUUGUACAGUGGCGAACGGGUGAGUAAUACGUGGGCGACCUACCCUCGAGUGGGGAAUAACCCGCCGAAAGGCGGGCUAAUGCCGCGUACGCUUCCAUCUUUAUGGAGGUGGAAGGAAAGCCGUGCCGUGGGCACGGCGCUCAAGGAUGGGCUCACGUCCUAUCAGCUUGUUGGAGGGUAACGGCCUACCAAGGCUCCGACGGGUAGCUGGUCUGAGAGGACGAUCAGCCACACUGGCACUGCGACACGGGCCAGACUCCUACGGGAGGCAGCAGUGAGGAAUAUUGCGCAAUGGGCGAAAGCCUGACGCAGCGACGCCGCGUGGGGGAUGAAGGUCUUCGGAUUGUAAACCCCUUUCGGGAGGG